rnacentral:lncRNA from 1 species
CCUCUACCACCCGUGUGAUCAUGCCUAGAAGGUACUACCUGAGUUAUUAACUGUGGCUGUCCUGGCCCUGGCAGAGUUGUGGAAUUAUUCCUCCACCCAUCUAGGCUCCAAUUUAAUCUAGUGGGAUCAUUUUCUCACCCACGAUGGGAGUGCCUGAAAGUUGAUCCUGUUUUAAACUAUUUAUGAGUUCAACGUAGGAGUCGAAGAGAGAGAGCCACCAACCUCUUUUGCACCAGGGGGUUGAUAAAGAGAAGAAAACCUGCCAAGAGAUGUGCUUGAGUAGGAGGAGACUGCCCUGGCAACAGCCAAAUCCAGCCUAGGACAGCUCUCUCUCAAAAGGUAAAUGACGACCCCGUAUGCCUUCCUGGUGUUGUUUCCACCUGGGAAAAAUCCCAACAAUCCCAAGUUUAAUGGCAUCUUCCUCUGAGCUGGGGCAACAUGAGGGAAAUGACUGGGAGGAGUAAAGAGCUUUGUUUUGUCAUAGCUUUUUUAGAAAAGUGAAACUUGCAUCUGAGAGGGAUGGUCUUGGCUAGGGUCUCUUUUCAAGGUAAGUUGGGGAAACACCCUGAUUAGUCCUAUUAGUCAAAGACUGUCUUUGAUUUUAGGAAUUAUAGUAAGAUUCAUUAUUGUGUUUCUUCACCAACUUCUCCCUUUAGGCUAAACUUAGGGCCAGGAGAGAAAUGCUGGGUCUUUUAGCUUGGGGGUGUUUAAAAAAAAAUGAUUUGAUACUAUUUGGUGGAAAGAAUGAAGAGAUUAGGGAAAAGAACACAUGGAAAGGAAGAGGUGAUUGAUCUUUUUGGAAGUCAAAGAGUAGGUGACUUUGUUAAAGAUUCACAAAUGCUCUUUUCUGUUUUUUACUUGAGCAGGACCAGAUAGUCAUGCCCCACUUUCUUUUCCUCCCACACUAGUCCUGAGCAAUGCUGCUACUUGUCUCAAAGAAAACAAGAACUUUAAAGUCACUUUUACAAACAUUUCUAGGACAGGUCUUACUUUGAAAAGCAAAUUUUGAAUCUACCAUUUUUGAUAGCAUAUGUGUCAAAAAAAAAAAAAAGCUAUUUUAGCCUAAGAAAUCUCAAAGAAAAGAAACUGAAUAUCCAAGCCUCCAAUAAUUUGUUGUAACUUUUUCCAUUCAAAAAAAUUGGUUAGCCAGGAGUAGUGGCACAGGCCUGUACUUUCUACUCAGGAGCUUGAGGCAGGAGGAUCACAAGGUCAAGGCUAGCCUCAGCAAUUUAGCAAGACCCUGUCUCAAAAUAAAAAAUAAAAAAGUACUAGCAGUAGAUCACUCACCUAGAAUGUAUGAGGCCUUGGGUUCUAUCCUCAGCACCACAUAAAAGAAAUAAAGGUAUUGUGUCCAACUGCAAUAAAAAAAAAAAACAUAAAAUAUUUUUUUAAAAAAAGGAGUAGGGAAGUAGCUCAGUGGUAAAGCUCUCCUUGGUUCAAUCCCCUAUCCCAAAAUAAUAAUAAUAAUAAUAAUUACAAAAAUUGUUUACCAAAUUUUGUAUUCAAAAUCUUGUACUGUUUUUCUUAAAGAGAAAUUUAUAAACUUAGGUUCCAUAAAACCUGGAUCCAUGCAUAUGAAAAGAGCCAAGAUUAUACAUGGUAUAUUUAGGACAAAACAACAUUAUCUUUUUUUAUUCUCUUCCCACCCGCCACAGCCCCAGUAAAAAUGCAUUUUACUUUUGGAGGGAGAGGGAGGAAAGUUCUGAUCCUAAUUGGAACAAAAGUAGCCUGUUGGAAUUUGGCAGCUAUGAGUGAAAAGUCUGAAUCAGUACAGGACCUUUGAUUCAAGGUUCAGAAAUUCAGAUUUAAUUAGAUAAAGAGAAAAAGAGCCAAAGGUGACUUGAUGCUUUCCAACUUCCAGAUAUUGAACGUUUUCAAUCUCCCGGGAGCAUUAUCGCUAUCAGCAAACCCUCUCCAAAUUCUCUUAUGGUUUCAAUUCCUCAACCCUACACGCUCCAGUCUCUCCUACUUGUAACUACUCCAUCUGUGGCUUUUUGACCUCUUUCCUCCACCGUAAAUGCAGAUAUUUUAUUGUCGCUAAUUUUCCUUUGAUCUUCUUAUCUACUAUGAUUUCAAUUAUCCUGUAGUUGGGUGACUCUCAAUUCCAAAGAUCUUGUUUUUCCUCCUAAAUUUCAGUCCUGCAUUUCUGCCUUUCUGAGCAUGUUUUGUCAUUACCUUUAAAUUAACCUAUUCCCCCAAAACAGAAUUCACUGUGGUAUAUUAAAAUAUCUGCUAUCCUUAAAAUAAAUAAUUCUAUGAAUGUCAAAAUUUUUCUUUCAGUUUUCCAAAUUCAAGUCCCAGUAUUUCUUUAGCACUUCUGUCUUCCCACUAUAUGUCCAUUUAAUUCCUAAAUGAUUGCAAAUCUUUUCACAACCUCGUAUCCAUAUCCAUGCCUCCUUUCUGUUAUCUGGUCCCCUAACCUUUGUUUCCUCUUGACACUGCUACAACGCCUCCCUGUUGUUUUCCCCUGUUGUGCUAUUUUAUAUUUCCAGUACCUUUUACGCACUCUUGUCAGUUAUCUUCCUAAAGUACGGCUUUGAUUAAUUUAUUUUCCUUCAUUCAACAAGCAUGAAUCGAACACACACAACAUGCCAAGUACUGAUAUGAAUAUUAAUUCACUCAUGUGUGUGAAUUAAAUAUCCACAGAGUGCCAGCCUUUCCCUACACACUGAAGCUAUACCAUGAAUAGAACAGACUCCUAGAGCUUACAUUACAGUUAGUGCUAUACACAACAAUUAUGGCCUCUCCUCUCAAAGUGUUUUAUCUGCUCAAAAACCUUCAAUGGUUCCCCUGUGUCUGAAAGAAUAAAAUUUCAAUUCAUUACCCUAAAUUUCAAGUCUCAAGAUUUUCAGUAAUUUAAAUAUAACUAUCAAGGACUUAUUGAUGAUUCUUUAAUAAUUUCUCAGAGGAUAUGGUAUUUCUAUUACUUUAGUUUUUUUCCACUGAAGAUUUUCUAGUGUACCCCUAUCCAUUUUAUAAUUCAGUGUCCACAGGUAGGGAAUGGAGGGACACAGUUCUAAUCCCAGCUACUUGAGAGGCUGAGGCAGUAGGAUAGAAAAUUUGAGGCCAGCCUUAAAUUUUUAAAAAUAUUUUCAAUUGUAGAUAGACACAAUAACUUUAUUUUGUUUAGUUUUUUUUUCUUUUAACAUGGUGCUGAGGAUAAAACCGAGUGCUCACACAUGCUAAGCAAACGUUCUACCACUGAGCCACAAUCCUAACCCUCAGCCUCAAAUUUGAGGCCAGCCUCAGUAAUUCAGUGAGACACUGUCUUAAAAUUAAAAAAAAAUUAAAAUAAAAAAACUGGGAGUGUUGCUCAUUGGUAGAGUAUUUGCAUAGUAUGGGUUCAAUUACCAAUACUGCAAAAAAUAAAAUAUAAUGUGCUAUUCCAUAUGAAAUAUGAGGCCCAUGGAAACUCAAGACUAUUCAUCUAUGUGCUAAACAUUUUCCCUGGGAAUGAGUACUGGUGAUUGAACCAAAGAGUUCUUUAUCACCGAGCUAUAUCCUCAGUCCUUUUUGUCUUUUACUUUGAGACAGGGUCUUACUAAGUUGCUUUGGCUGGCCUUGAACUUGCAGUCCUCCUGCCUUUGAGUCCUGAUUUGUUAGGAUUACAGUUGUGUACCACUGAACCUGGCUAGCUGCUUCUAUUGCUUAUGAUAGGACCAUUGUUACUGCAGUGAGGUGAUAGAUACCUCAUUCCUCAUUGUGCAUUUGAUUUGCAUUUCCCAGAUGAUUAGUAGUGUUGAGCAUUUUUUUCCAUAUACUUGUUGGCCAUUAGUAUGUCUUCUUUUGAGAAAUGUCUAUUUAGGUCUUUUGCCCAUUUAUAAAUUGGAUUUUUUAAAAAAAAUUUUUGCUAUUUAGUCUUUGGAAUGCCUUCUUCAUUAUGUAUAUUAACCUCUUGUCAGAUGUAUAGUUUGCAAAUAUUUUCUCCCAUUCUGUAAGUUGUCUGUCCACUUUGUUGAUUGUUUCCUUUGCUGAGCAGAAGCUUUUUAGUUUGAUGUAAUCUCAUCUCCAUUAUCUAUUUUUGCUUUUGUUUCCUGUGAUUUGGGGGUUUUGUUUAAAAAGUCCUUGUCUAUUCCAAUGUUCAGAAAUGUUUCCAUUAUGUUUCCUGCUAGCAGUUUCAUAGUUUCAAGUAUCACAUUUAAAUCUUUAAUCCAUUUUGAGUUGAUUUUUAUAACUGGUAAGAAAAUAAGGGUCUAGUCUUACUCUUCUGCAUGUAGAUAUCCAAUUUUCCCAACACCAUUUAUUGAGAAGACUGUCCUUUCUCCAAGGCAUGUUCUUAGCACCUUUGUCAAAAAUCAGUUGCAGCUCAGGAGACUGAGACAAGAGGAUCACAAGUUCAAAGCCAGCCUCAGCAACUCAGUAGAGUACUAAAUAACUGAGUGAGAUCCUGUCUCAAACUUAAAAAAAAAAAAAAAAGCUGGGGAUGUAGCUCAGUGGUGAAUGGCCCCAGGUUAAAUCCCUAAUACAAAAGAAAAAACAAAAAACUGUUGGCUGUUGACAUGUGAAUUUACUUCUAGCUCUGCUUUGUUCCAAUGGUUUAUGUGUCUUUCCAUGCCAAAACUGCGCUGUCUUAAUUACUUCACCUUUGUGGUAUAUUUUGAAAUCAGAUAGUGGAAUGCUUCCUGCUUGGUUCUUUUUCAUCAAGAUUGCUUUGACCUAAACUGGGCAUGGUGGUGCACGCCUGUAAUCCCAGCAGCUCAGGAGGCCAAAGCAAGAGGAGCCGGAGUUCAAAGCCAGCCUCAGCAACAGCAAGGUGCUAAGUAACGCGGUGAGAUAGGGCUGGGGAUGUGGCUCAGUGGUUGAGUGCCCAUGAGUUCAAUCCCUGGUACAAAAAAAAGAAAAAUUCUUUGACAUUUUUUUGUUUUGUGAUUGUCAUUCCAUACAAAUUUUAGGAUUGUUUUUUCUACUUCUGUGAAGAAAGUUAUUGGUAUUUUGAUAUGGAUUAAAUUGAAUCUGCAGAUUACUUUGGGUAGUAUAGAUAACUUAACAAUAUUGAAAGCUGGACAUGGUGGUGUAAGCCCAUAAUCCCAGCUAUUCUGUAGGCUGAGAUAGGAUGAUUGCAACUUCAAGGCCAGCCUGGGCAAUUUAUGUGAGACUCUGCCCCAAAAUUUUAAAAUAAUGAUAUUGAUUAUUCUAAUCCACGAACACAGGAUAUCUUUCUACUUUUCAUAUCCUCCUCAAUUUCUUUCAUCAAUGUUUUAUAGUUUUCUUCAUAGCAAUCUUUCCCCUCUUAAUAAUUGAGAGUAGGGCUGGGGAUGUAGCUCAAGUGGUAAUGCGCUUGCCUGGCAUGCGUACAGCCUGGGUUCGAUCCUCAGCACCACAUACAAAUAAAGAUGUUGUGGCUGCCGAAAACUAAAAAAAUAAAAUAAAAUAAAUAUUAACUUUCUCUCUUAAAAAAAUAAUUGAGAAUAUAUUGGCUACCUAUUGUAAUGGUGAUUUUUUAUCAGUGUCUUCCUAUAAUUCCGCUGCUUUUUGUUUAUUGUUAAACUAUUUUUUUUUUUUGGUGGUGCUGGGGAUUGAACCCAAGGCCUUGUGCAUGCGAGGCAAGCGCAAGCACUCUACCAACUGAGUUAAAUCCCAGCCCACAGCUAUUUUAUCGAUGCUGACUUGAAUCCUUUAUCAGUAUUUAUCAAUCCUCUAUCCCUAAUGAUACUUUUUACCUUAAGUUCCAUUUUGUCUGAUAUUAAAAAUAGCUCCUCAGUUUUCUUUUGGUUAGCAUUUACCUUGUAUACCUUUUUCUUUCCCUUUUAUUUUCAACCUUUCCCUUAUAGAUGAGUCUUUUUAAAAAGAGCACUUAGUUGGACUGGGGCCAAGAUCAAAAAAGUGGAUGUUUGUCAUUUUUUGUUUGCCCAACAUCCAACAAUCCCUCCUUUGGGGGUAUCUUCCUAUAUAUGAAUCCGUGUGAGACAGAAUCUCCUUCCCACUCUAGAAGUCUGGAGAAACCAAAUAUUCCCUCUUCCACACCCUGGCCGCUGAGGUGCUGGUGCGUGACUCGGCUGUGACCAGUUGGAUGCUCUAGCCAGGGACUAGAAUAUUGAGUGACACAAAGAUGACACAAUUUAUAAUUCAGGCAUGGCAGAGGCAGCAGUAUCCAAUGACAGCAGCAAGAUACUCAGCAACAGCAAUGUCUGAUGGUGGCCAUGUCUAGUGCCAGCAUUGUCCUGACCAGACUUUUUCUGCACUGACCUUGGCUAUGAUUUCUGAUGGCUGGCUUCUGAUAGUUUCUGUUUUUCAUUUUUUAAAAUUUGUUUGUUUGUUUUGUGGUACUGGGGAUUGAAUCCAGGGGCAUUCUUCCAUUUUAUUUUUUGUUUUGAGGCAGAGUCUCUCUAAAUUGUUUGGCCUUGUAAUCCUCCUGCCUCAGCUUCACAAGUAGCUGAGGUUACAAUUGUGUAUCAUAUCACCCGGCUUGUUGAUUUCUGAUUUUUUGUAAAACUAGUUCUCCUUCUAGGGGCUAAAUGAUCUCUUUCCAAUAAAUAUCUUUUCUGUUUAAGAAAGAGAGACUCCAUUUCUGUUGCUGAUCGACAAGAAUUCUGUCUGAUAUAAAAAUGUUCUUUGUCCUUUUGGAAUGGAGGAAGGAGAGAUGUUGUAUAGGGGGUAUAUGUGAAGUCUGGAUUUCCAGGACCCAUUCUUGAUACCAUAAGGGAAGCCAUUCUGGGAAUAAAAACACAGAAUAAAGGCAGGGCAGACAAAGCAAUCAACAUGUAAAGAUAUAACCCAGUGACACCUGGACUUGGAGUCCAACCAUUUCUAAAGUUAGUUUUGCUCUAGACUUUUAGCCUCAUGAAUCAAUAAGUUGCAUGGUAGUUUUGUUUUAUUUUCUGGUGUUGGGGAUUGAACUCAGGUUCUUAUACAUGUUAAACAUGUGCUCUAUCACUGAGUUAUACCUCUAACCCAUGUAUUUUAAAAACCUCACUUGAUUAGACUUUUCUGUCACUUACAAUUAAAAGCACCCAUUCUACCUGAUACCCUUCUAUUCCACCUUUGAAAAGAAAUCCCUCACUUGAUUCUGCAAUAGGCUUUCAUUUGCUAUUUUACUUCUCUUCUUUCUUUCCUAGUUCAAUGUCUCAUUAAUUAUUUAAAGUCUUAGUGUCUUCAUUUCCUCACUGCCAUUUCCACUCUAUUCACUGAAGUUUGGAUUCCUUCUUCACUAUUCUGCUGACAUUAUUUCCAGUAGAUCACCAGUAGUCUUCUUCUGUCUUCAUUCAAUGCUGUAUCUCAAAGUCAUUUAUUCAUUCACAAAAAUUCCUUCAACAGAAAUUUUUACACAUCCACUUUAGCAAGAUACAGUGCAACACUCAUUCAUUAAACAGAAAUUUAUUGAGCAUAUAAUGUAACCUAGACUUUUAGGAUAAGAAACAAAUUAGAUAUGGCCCAUAAUCUCAUUUAGGAUUAUUAUUUUAUCAGGGAAUAUAGACACUAAGGUAACUAUAAUAGAUUGAAGAAAAUUGCCUUGGUAAAUUAAUACUUAAGCUUAGACCUAAAAGGUGAAUAUAGAGGGAGGAUAAAAAUGCAGCGAGUGUUAGUGGGAAAGAUUUGGACAAGAGGCGUUUCACGCAAAAUUCAUGAAACUCUGAGAAGUCCAAUAUUCCAAUUUCAAAAAGUAUAAGGGGCAGAAAGUGGCAAAAAAAAAAAAAAAAAGCUUAGACCAAAGGUAGCCCCAUUAAGAAGAUCCAAGACAAGGGAAGUUGCUGGAGGAUUUUAAUCAGAGAACUGAUCAAUUUACAUUUAUCAAAGAUCACUUUGUGGCUCAGAAGGGAACAAGAGUGUUUUUAAGAAAUCAGAGGGAAUUUAUAGGAGUCUGGCAUUGGUAGUCUAGAAUAGUAGUAGGAAUGAAGAGAACAGAAUUGAUUUAAGAGAUAUUUUGGAAAUAGGCCUGAAAGGAAAUUAGAGUGAGAAACCAUUGUAAUUUGGAACACAAAAAAGCAUAUGGCCUUGCUCUGAAAGAGCACCGCAAAAAGGACAAGACACAGGAAUAAUGUCAUAUGUAUGGAAAUAAUAAACAUACUUUGAAAGUUGCACAAAUGUCUACCAGUCUUCCCACAUUUUCUAGCCAACAGGAGGAGCUCCAGACCAGUCUUCUCUCAUCCUAAGUCUUAAGACCAUUUUCAUUGCAGUUCUCUGACAAGCUGUGCCUCUGUCUGUAAUGACCACAGCUCUUUUGUAUGUGUGUAUGUGUGGUACUGGGGGUUUAACCACAAGCACUGAGCUGCAUCUGAGCCCAUUUUUUGUUUUGUUGGUUUUGUUGAGACAAGUUCUCACUAAAUUACUGAGGAUCUUCAUUCCUGACACCAUAUACUAAAAUAAACUCCAAGGGGAUCAAGAAAAAAAGAAAAAGGAGCCAGAUAAACAGUAGAAAAGAACACGGGUGAAUUCUAUAAUCUGGAUGAGGGGAAAUUUUUGUAAUAAUGACUCAAAAUUCAGAGAUAAUAAAAGAAAAUUGAUAAAUAUCACUGAUUAAAAAAAAAAAACUUGUAUGGCAAAAGAACAAAAAAAGCCACCACAAAUAAAAAGAAAAGACAAUUGAAAAGCCAGGAGAAAAUAUUUGCAAUAUAUGUCACAUUUAAAUAUUGUAAUAUAUGUCACAUCUGCAGGACUAACAUUCUUCCUGCAUAAACAACAUGUAAAGAAUGAGGCUAGAAAAAAGGACAAAAGACAUGAACAAAUGAUUUACAUAAAAGAUAUGAAUAUUAGGGUCUGGGACUGUGGCUCAGUGGCAGAGCACUUGCUGAGCACAUGUGAGGCACUGGGUUCAAUCCUUAGCACCACAUGAAAAUAAACAAAUGAAAUAAAGGCAUGCUGUUCACCUACAACUACAAGAAAAAAAAUUUUUAAAGGUACUGUUAGCCAUUGGGGUGGUGUGCUUGUAGUUUCAGCUACUUGGUAGACUGAAGCAGGGGAAUCACUUAAGUGUAUGAGUUUAAGACAAGUGUGGGCAACACAACGAGACCCUGUCUCAAAAAUUAUUACGAAAACAAUUCCUUGGGCUGGGAUUGUGGCUCAGCAGUAGAGCGCUCGCCUAGCUCGGGCAGACCCGGGUUCGAUCCUUAGCACCACAUAAAAAUAAAGGCAUUGUGUUGUGUUCAUCUACACCUAAAAAAUAAAUAUUAAAAAAAAAAAGAAAACAAUUCCCUUUUUUCCUUUUUUUAUCCAACACUGGGGAUUGAAUCCAGGGGUGCUCUAUCACUGAGUUACAUUCCCAGCCCCUUUUUGAGACAGGGUCUCACUAAAUGGCCCAGACUGGUCUCAAACUUGUGAUCCUCCUGCCUCAACCUCCAAAAUAGCUGGAUUUCAGGCAUGCACAACUGUGCCUGGCAAAAUAAUUUCACUUAAACUAACAUAGGUAGCACAUGCCCAUAAUCCCAAUGAUUUGAAAGACUGAGGUAGGAGGAUCUCACAUUUAAGGCCAGCCUGGUCAAUUCAGCGAGACCCUAUCUCAAAAUAAAAAAUAAAAUAAGGCUGGGGCAGGGGUGGCUGUAGUUCAGUGGUAGAGUACAUAGGUCCAAUCCCCAGUAACACACAUACACACAUGCCCCCCAAAAUAAAAUAGGUCCAGUGUGUAGCUCAGUGGUAGAGGACUUGCCUACCAUGAAUAUUCAAUCCCCAGUAUUACAAAAACAAAUGUAAAAUAAAUAAAUAGCAUAACAUAAAAAAGAAUAAAAUAAUAAGGAAUAAAAAUAGCCAAUAUAAGUGCAAAAUUCUCUGAAAUCUAUAGAAUAUUGUUAGAUUGAAAAGAUUUAAAGAGGGCUGGGGACGUGGCUCAAGCGGUAGCGCGCUCGCCUGGCAUGCAUGCAGCCCGGGUUCAAUCCUCAGCACCACAUACGAUCAAAGAUGUUGUGUCUGCCAAAAACUGAAAAAUAAAUAUUGAAAUUAAAAAAAAAAAGAAAAGGUUUAAAAAAAUGGAAAGUCACCCCCAUGUUCAUGAAUCAGAAGACAGUAUCAUUAAGAUGGCAAUACUCUUCAAAUUGUCAGUGCAAUCUGUAACCAGAAUCCCAGUGGCUUCCUUGUGAAAAUUGACAAGAUGGCUCUAAAAUUCAUAUGGAACCUGGCACAAUAGUGCACAUCUGUGAUCCCAGCAACUUGAAAGGCUAACGCAGGAGGAUUCCAGGUUCAAGGCAGUCUGGGCAAUUUAGCUAGCCCCUGUCUGAAAAUGAAAAAUAAAAAGGGCUGGGGGUAUAGCUCAGUAGUAGAGCUCAAUCCCCAGUACAGCCAAAAAAUUUAAAAAUUUUUUAACAAACUAAAAUAAAAUUUGUAUGGAAAUCUUAAAUACAAGAAGUUGGAGUGCUCACACUUUUCAAUUUACAAAUAAACAUACAGUUAUCAAGACAGUGUAAUAUUGGCAUAAAAUAUACAUAUGUAGAUAGAUAAAUCAAUGAAAUAGAAUUGAAAGUCCAGAAAUGAAUAUGUUUCUCUGAUCAUAUGAUUUUUCAACCAGAAUUUUGAAAACAUUCAAUGGCAAAAAAUAUAUUCUUUUCAUCAAAUCAUACCAGGAAAACUGAAUAUCCACAUGUAAAAGAAUGAAGUUGGGCCUUAACCUUACACCAUAUGCAAAAAUGAACUCAAAAUGGGUUAAAGACCUUAACAUAAGAGUCAAAGCUGUAAAGUUCUUAAGAGGAAAAAUAGGGAUAAAUCAUUGUGAUCUUGGAUUUGGCAAUGGGUUCUUAGAUAUGACACCAAAAGUACAAGUAACCAAAGAAAAAAAUAGUUAAGCACUUUUGUGAUUCAAAGGACAAUGUCAAGAAAGUUAAAAGAAAAUCCACAGGAUAAGAGGAAAAUUUUGCAAGUCAUUGGGCAAUUUGAUUUUUUAAUUAUUGGUGUAAAACAUAAAGAGAGUGAGAGAGAUUGGGCACAGUGGCACACAUCUGUAAUCCCAGUGGCUUGGGAGGCUGAUCUCAAGUUCAAAGUCAGCCUCAGCAACAGCAAGGCGCUAAGCAACUCAGUACAUAAAAUAUAAAACAGGGCUGGGGGGCUGGGAUUGUAGCUUAGUGGUAGAGUGUUCACCUAGCAUGUGUAAGUCACUGGGUUCAAUCCUCAGCACCACAUACAAAUAAAUAAAUAAAAUGAAGGUAUUGUGUCUAUCUAUAACUAAAAAAAUUUUUUUAAAAAUAGGACUGGGAAUUUGGCUCAGUGGUCGAGUCCCCUGGGGUUCAAUCCCCCUGUUCUCAAAAAGAAAGAAAAAAAGAGAAAGAGAGUGAGAGAGACAGACAUAUGCAAGUGAUAACUCUAUGCUUAAUCACUUGAGGAGAUACCAGACUGUUUUCCAAAGUGGCUGCACCAUUUUAUUCCAACCAGCAGUGUUGGAGGGUUCCAAGUUCUCCACAUCCUCACCAACACUUAUUACCUGACUUUUAAUUCUAGCCCUUCUAUGUGUGUGAAGUAUCAUCUGGUAGUUCUUCAGAUGAUUAAAUAUAUAAUUCCACUCCUAAGUAUAUACCCAAGAUAAAUGAAAACAUAGCCACACAAAACAUCAUGUUUAUAGCAAUGUUAUUCAUAAUAGCCAAAAUUUAGAAACAACCCAAAUGUCCAUAAAUGGAUGAAUCAACAACAAAAUAUGGUAUAUAUCCUUACAAUGAAAUAUUAUUCAGCCACAUAAAGAAAACAAGUACCAAUACAUGCUACAACCUGGAUAAAUCAUAAAAACAUCUUGUUAAGCAAAAAAAAUCCCGUCACACCGGUCAUGCAGGUCAUGGUGGUGCACCCCUGUAAUUCCAGCAGUUCAGGAGGCUGAGACAGGAGGUUCUGGAGUUCAAAGCCAGUCUCAGCAAUGGCAAGGCACUAAGCAACUCAGUGAGACCCUGUCUCUAUAAAUAAAACACAAAAUAGGGCUGGGGAUGUGGCUCAGUGAUUGAGUGCCCCUGAGUUCAAUCCCUGGUACCAAAAAAAAAAAGCCAGUCACAAAACGUGUGUGUGUGUGUGUGUGUGUGUGUGUCUAUAUCUGUAUGUGUGUAAAACAGAAAGUCGAUUAGUGGUUGUUUAGAGCGGGGGGGGGUAAUGUAGGGUGACAGUUAAGUGGAAUAUUGUGAUGAUUGCACAUUUCUGCAAAUACACUAAAAAACCAUUGGCAUGUACACUUUUGAUGUACAUGCCAAUGGUUUUUUGAUGGGUGUACAUUGUAUGGUUUCAUUAUAUUUCAUUGUAUAUUAAUUACAUUUCAAGUUGCUACAAAAGAGAGAUAUAAAUUAAAGAUUUAAUUAAAAGAUCUUCAAUAUCAUUCAUGAUAAAAGAAAGACAAAACUAUACCAGUAUAAAAUGUUUUAUCUAUAUUAUCAAAGAUUAUAAAUUAUUGGAGACAACACAUUCUGUUGGCAAGGCUGUGAGGAAGCAGGCACGCUCAGUAAUUUUUUACAGGAAUGCAAAUCAUACAACCAUUAUGGAGGAAAAUUUAGCUAUACUACUAUAAGUACAAAUUCAUUUAAAUUUUGUCUCAACAAAUGCACUUGUAGGGUUUUACCCUGAUGAUACACCUUUUUAUGAAAAUAGCUGCACACAAGUAUUAUUGCUGCAUUAUUACUGUAGCAUUACUAAUAGUUUUUAAAGAUUAAUUCGUUCAUUUACUUAUUUAUGGUACUGAUUGAACCCAGGGGUGCUUAACCACUGAAGCACAUCCCAGUCCUUUUUAUUUUUUAUUUCUAGACAGGAUCUCAGUAAGUUGCUUAGAGAUUAUUAAUUUGCUGAGGCUGAUCUCAAACUCACAAUCCUCCUGCCUCGGCCUCCCAAAUUGCUGGGAUUACAGGUGUGUGCCACUAUGCCUGGCAUUAGUAGUUAUUAAUAGUUGCAAAAAAUAUUGGAAGUAAUUAAAUAUGUGUAUAAGAGUGGUUAUCCACAGAAAAGAAUACUCCACAGUUGUAAAAAUGAAAAAUAAUGCAAGUUGGGCUUGAUAUAACAUGCCUAUAAUCUCAGCAACUCAGGAGCCUGAGGCAAGAGAAUCACAAAUUCAAGGCCAGUCUCAGGAACUUAGUGAGGUCCUAAGCAAUUUAGUGAGACCCUGUCUCAAAAUAAAAAAAUAAAACAGACUGGGAAUAUAAUUCAGUGGUAGAGUGCCCCUGGGUUCAAUCCCUAGUACCACAAAAUAAUAAUGAUAAUUAUAGUAAAAAUAUAAAAUAAUGAUGAUGAUGAUGAUGAUAAUAAUAACAAUGCAGAAGUUACCUAUAAACAUUAUUUCAGAUUAGAAGAGAGUCCCAGAAUUUUUUUUCUGGUACUGGGGAUUGAACCCAAGGGCACUUUACAGGAUUUUGCUAAGUUGCUGAGCCAGGAUGUAUUAUUAAGUGAAAAAAAAAUGCAAGAAUGUCUAUCUAUGAGAUGCUAUCUUUGGUGUAAGAAAAAAAGGAGAAAUGAAAAAUGAUUUACUGGUGAAAAGAACACAGGAAGUAUGAACCAGAAAUAGAGGAGAUUUAUUACCUACAGGAUGAAGAUAAUAGGAACGGGGUAGAAAGGAUAGUACUUGGGUGGAAUGAAAUAAAAGGAUGAUGGAGGAGGCGUGACAUUUCUCUGAGUGUAGCUUUCACAGCUCUGACUUGAUAAGUAUGCUAAUACAUAAUAUGCUGAAAGAUUCAUAAAUGCAGUAAGAACAGGUGGAAAAUACCAACAUUUCAACAGUUUUCUCCAAAUAAAUAAAUUUGCUGCCUCUUCACUUUCAAUCCUUUUUACAUCCUCAAGCAGAAUAUUAAGCUGAGGAUAUAAAAAAAUGGUCUUUAGCCACUUGCUUUUUGCAAUGCCUGUUAGGAGGUUUCUCUUUGAAGCAUGCAAUACCACCUAUGUAUUGUUCAAUUUUAUACCAUAAUCAUAAUUGAGACGAAGACCCAUUUUAAUAACCUUUUACAUCUGUUCUGUCAUCCCAUAUAUUUUUGUUGUUGUUUUUUUAAGAAAAUCUCGUUAAAAAAUAGCAUCUUGGGAGGGGGGAUAGUAGAGGAUAGGAAAGGUAGUAGAAUACAACAGUUACUAAUAUGGCAUUAUGUAAAAAUGUGGAUGUGUAACCGAUGUGAUUCUGCAAUCUGUAUUUAGGGUAAAAAUGGGAGUUCAUAACCCACUUGAAUCUAAUGUAUGAAAUAUGAUAUGUCAAGAGUUUUGUAAUGUUUUGAACAACCAAUAAAAAAAAUAAAAUAAAAAAAUAGCAUCUUUUUUUUUAAUUAAUCCGUUUAUCAGAAAUUUACAAUGUCUAUUCAUUCCAUCUGUGCAGGAGCUCAGCUGGUGACCAUGAGAACCCAAGGUAAAAGGUGUUGAAUGCAACUUCCUUGUUACUACAGUGUUGUGGUCAAGUCCCAAGGUGAGGACAAGGGUCAGUAAGUAUCGAGUAUAUUCUCAAGAGUCGCAACAAUAGGAACCAGAACUCUCCCACAUAUUUUUUGAUGUUCUUAUUGCUGUUUCUUGUCUCCCCCACCUUUUUUUUUUUUAAAUAAUCUCUCUCACAUCUUAUAAAGAGCAGGUCUAGUCAACCAUAUGUCCACCAACUCCCACCCUUCACCCCACCACAGUACCCAUAAAGAAUGGGCCGGAGCCUAGGAUGUGUAUAGCUCAGUGGUGGAGCCCCUGCACCACAGUUUAACAUGCAUAAGGCCCUGGGUUCGACCCCCAGAACUGCGGGAAAAAACAAAACAAAGAAACAGACUGGCAGAGCAAAUAGGAGUAGUCAUUAUUGGCCUUAUGGAAUCUAUAUUAUUAACUUAAGCAAUUUCAUGAGUGCUUCUUUUUUAAAUUUUUUUUUUUAGUUGUAGGUGGACACAAUACCUUUAUUUUACUUUUAUGUGGUGCUGAGGCUCGAACCCAGUGCCUCACGCGUGCUAGGCAUGCACUCUAUCACUGAGCCACAACUCCAGCGCCAUCAUAAGUGCUUCUUAAAUAAGUCUUUUCCUGGAGGGCAGGUAACUGGGAAUUGAACCCAGCGACACUCUCCAUUGAGCUACAUUCCCAGCCCUUUUUAUUUUUAUUUUGAGACAGGGUCUCACUGAGUUGCACAGGCUGGCCUCAAAUUUGCAAUCCUCCAAGUCGCUGGAAUUAUAGGAAUGUGUCACUGUAACUUGACACUUUUAAAAUAGAUCUUCAUGAUUUUUUGCAACCCUUGACCCCAUUUUUGGUAUUUUUUUUUUAAAGAGAGAGGUGAGAGAGAGAGAGAGAGAGAGAGAGAGAGAGAAUUUUUAAUAUUUAUUUUUUAGUUUUUGGCGGACACAACAUCUUUGUUUGUAUGUGGUGCUGAAGAUCGAACCCGGGCCGCAUGCAUGCCAGGCGAGCACGCUACCGCUUGAGCCACAUCCCCAGCCCCAUUUUGGUAUUAUUAUUAUUUUUAAUACUUUCAAUCCACUUUCCUCAGCCUCCCAAGUCCCUGGGAUUACAAACGUGCCACAGCACCAGGCUCCACGCAGUAUUGUUACACACACACACACACACACAAACAAAACAAAACAAAAAAAAACUAACAACUUGUUUUAUCCUUUUUUUUUUCUAGGAAUAUGACAAAUCUGGAGUCGUACCUGAACAGGUAACUGCUGCUGGCUAACAGUGUAGAGGUGUGUGUCACCAUGGAAGACGCAAGCCCGUCUAGCAGUGUCGACGUGGACAAAGGCUUUGCCAUUGCAUUUGUUGUUCUUCUGUUUCUAUUUCUGAUAGUGAUGAUUUUUCGGUGUGCCAAGUUGGUGAAGAAUCCGUACGAGGCAAGCUCCACAACCACAGAAACACCUCUGAGCUGAAGUGUGAUAAAACCUGGGACACCCGAUUUCAAGAGAUUUGAAAUAUUUUAUACAGACUUUAUUAUCCAGACCUUAUAUUAUCUCACCUCCCCAUUUCUCGGCCUUCUCACUCUUGUAUUCCACAAUGGAUAUAGAGAGUGAGUUGAGAAUAAUAAUAAAAAGAGAUGAAAC